rnacentral:rRNA from 1 species
UACGAAGGGGGCUAGCGUUGUUCGGAUUUACUGGGCGUAAAGCGCACGUAGGCGGAUAGUUAAGUGAGGGGUGAAAUCCCAGGGCUCAACCCUGGAACUGCCUUUCAUACUGGCUAUCUAGAGUCCGGAAGAGGUGAGUGGAACUCCUAGUGUAGAGGUGGAAUUCGUAGAUAUUAGGAAGAACACCAGUGGCGAAGGCGGCUCACUGGCCCGGUACUGACGCUGAGGUGCGAAAGCGUGGGGAGCAAACAGG